GCUGUCCUUCAUGACAACAGAACCCACAACAACCAUGACUUUUAUCACCAUCUUCAUCUGGACACUUGCCCUCUGCUUCAAGGAAUCCAGAGGACAGUACACUGUGACUCAGACUCCUGCAGUGAAAGCUGUUCUCCCAGGACAGCCAGUCUCUCUGAACUGUAAAACCAGCAGUAAUGUGUAUGGAGAUUGUUACAAUGGUCAGUCAUGGGGCCAUCUGUGUCUAUCCUGGUACCAACAGAAACCUGGAGAAAACCCCAAACUCAUGAUGCUCCCAGGGAACACACUCCAUUCUGGGACUCCUUCUAGAUUCAGUGGCAGUGGAUCUGGGAGUGACUUCACUCUGACCAUCAGUGGAGUUCAGGCUGAAGAUGCAGGAGAUUACUACUGUCAGAGUGUACACGUCAUCAAUAGUAAACAUGUGUUCACACAGUGAUACAGAGCCGUACAAACAACCUCCUUCAGUCAGACUGCACAGUGACUGUACUGCUACAGCUGGGACCUACUGCAGGUGCUGAGGGGGAAGAGACAGUGACAUGGAACACUGGUUAGUGAAGUCAACUUUGAAUAUGUUUAGAAAGCAUCAUUCAGAUCACAUGUUCCCCAUCAUCAUCAUCAUCAUCAUCAUCAUCAUCAUUAUCAUCAUCAUC